GAAACCUGUAACUUAUCCGAAAAACGUUAAUAGUGCGAUGUGGGUCGCCAUGGCUGCUUCCUCCGUUAUCUGUGACAUUUCACUAACCUUUAGCUUCAGACACAGGCUCAUAUCCCUCAAACCCUUCAACAGAGUCAUUGUUUCUCAUCUCUCACUUUACCAUUUUGCCCUUCCUUCUCCUUCUCCUUCUCCUUCGCUUUCCUUCCAAGACACUCGAGAACAACCCCUUGAACGUGAAACCUUACUAAAAUCAAAGCCAAAGGCAAACCAAUCGGAGAGGCUCUAUGUAGGAAACUUGCCUUACGCAUUGCUCUCUUCCCAGUUGGCUCAGCUGUUUGGAGAGGCUGGCAAUGUUGUAUCCGUUGAGAUUGUGUAUGAUGACAUAGCAAAUAGAAGUAGAGGGUUUGCGUUUGUUACAAUGGGGAGUGUGGAGGAAGCUGAACGAGCGAUUCAAAUGUUUGAUGGCUCGGAAAUUGGAAGUAGGAUUAUUAAGGUAAACUUCACACGAAUACCCAAAAGAGGCAAACGGCUAGUAAUGGGCUCCAACUACAGAGGCUUUGUAGACAGUCCUCACAAGAUUUAUGCUGGAAACCUUGGUUGGGGUCUGACAUCACAGGGUCUUAGAGAUGCCUUUGCUGAGCAGCCAGGCUUCUUGAGUGCCAAAGUCAUCUAUGAAAGGAACAGUGGAAAAUCUCAGGGAUAUGGGUUUGUCUCUUUUCAAACUGCUGAGGAUGUAGAGGCUGCUUUAAAUUCUAUGAAUGGUGUGGAGGUUCAAGGGCGACCCUUACGACUGAAACUAGCUGCAGAUAAGAAGACUUCAUCUCCUCCAGUAAUUCAUGAAAAUACAGGAAAUAAUGUUGAUAUCAUGGAAAUGGUGUUUAGUGUCAGCACAUGAGUUACGUUCCUUGACGUCGGCUAUCAUUCUUGCUGACAAGGACGACUAAUGUGAGAAAGACAAUCCUCCUUACCAUCGGAAACAAGGAUGGUCCCUGAAAAGCUUACCCACCAAAUCCCAACAAGCAAGGAAGGGAACCAACAACCUCCGGCCUGAAGUCCAUGAAGAGGAAGAGUUGGAGGCUGGCAUUCCUCAAGAGUUAUUGGAGCCUCUAAACAAGACCAGAACCUUGAUCAACAAAACCUCACUCAAACUCCAUGAGCUUGUCUUCAACCUUGCUCAAUUGAAAACCCUAUCCAAUUCUUACAAGAACCUUCAAAGAACCCUUCUCUAAAGAUCAGAACACCACCCUAAACCCUGAACCAAGGUAAGGAAAGAAAGCACCUUGAUGGGUAGCUAUUUCCAAAUUGGCCCUUCUACCUUAACUUCUUGAUAAACUUUGAAAAGCUCUAAGGUAGGUGAUGAUAUACAGUGAAGUCAGAAAAAAUCUCUCUCUCUUGAAAAAAUUUUCGAAAUGUUUCUUGACUUGUUUUUCAUAGAGAAUGACAAAUGAUAUUUAUGGAAAAUCAUUUUCGUAAAUGUAAUGGAUUAAAAUAUCUGAGUAAUCAUUAAUUUGAUCACCUUAAUACUUCUAGACUUGUUUUCAAAAUAGUUUUAAUCGAUUAAAAUAUGAAUGUUUAUGCCACUUAUGGUCGGUUUAAUCGAUUAAAAUAAAAAUGUAAUCAAUUAAUUUGUUUUUACAAAACUUAAUCAAUAACUCCCAAUACUUUGUAAUCGG